GGGAAUAAGGGCAGGAUUCGGGGAGUGAGAGAUUACUGGGAAGUGGCAGGGGGAGCCAGGGAAUAAGGGCAGGACUCGGGGAAUGAGAGAUUACUGGGACGUGACAGGGGGAGCCAGGGAAUAAGGGCAGGACUCGGGGAGUGAGAGAUUACUGGGAAGUGACAGGGAGAGCCAGGGAAUAAGGGCAGGACUCGGGGAAUGAGAGAUUACUGGGAAGUGACAGGGGGAGCCAGGGAACAAGGGCAGGACUCCGGGAGUGAGAGAGAGAGCAGUGAGUAAGCAGCAGGGUCAAGUAUUUAAGUCCAGCACUCAGCUGCAGUAUUUGAGAGUCAGUGGAGCUGCCACAGAAGGAGGAUAGGAUUUCAUGCUGCAAACCUGGGGCUCUUCGAAGAAGCAGAGCUCGCCUUGUUUUAGAGGGUGGGAGUGCUUGGCUCUGAGAACUGAAUUCCAUAGAUGGUUGAUUUCCUCAAACCCAUCUGGGCUCAGUUCUUGAAGCUCGGUACUUCAGAGGCAAGCAGAUUCUGAGCCAGCCAGCUCCACGGAGUAUUGCGUUCCUCAUUUACUGUACUCUGUAUGAUCUUGUAAAUUAAUAAACACAUGUUAUAUCUUCA